CUGAAAUAGUGAAGAGAGGAGAGAAGAGAGAAAACCUAACUCUCUUCGAUCUUCAAAUCACCAUAACUUGAGCUACGGAGCUCCGAUUGACGAGCCGUUUGCGGCCACGCGUCGCUCUUCUCAUCCUCUACAAUUCUAUCUAAGUUUUGUGGGAUACUCCAACAUGGAUUCUAAGUGGGUUCUAUCCCUACUUCAUAUGGGCUGAGUGCAUUUGAUGGUUUUGGUGCACAAUUGGGAGAUUGGUGUUGCUUGAGGAGCUUUGGUGAGGCUUAGGGCUAAGGUUGGUGGAGACUUCCAAAGAAGAGGCUCAAUUGAUUUGGCUACAAGAGGUACGGU